CACGGGGGGAGCAAGCGUUGUUCGGAAUCACUGGGCGUAAAGGGCGUGUAGGCGGUCAGGUAAGUGGAAUGUGAAAGCCCUCGGCUCACCCGAGGAUCUGCAUUGCAAACUGCCUGGCUUGAGUAUGGGAGAGGAUGAGGGAAUUCCUGGUGUAGCGGUGAAAUGCGUAGAUAUCAUAAGGAAGACCAGUGGCGAAGGCGGGUCUCUGGACAGUUCCUGACGCUGAGGCACGAAGGCCAGGGGAGCAAACGGG
rnacentral:rRNA from 1 species